UAAGGUGUCGGAGCAUUGCUCCGAUGAAAAGGGAAACAGGUGAAAGUCCUGUACGAACCCGUCACUGUAAGCAGCGUGCGAAAGCCGAUCGUGCCACUGGGAAACCGGGAAGGCGGCUGACGCGGUAAGCUGUAAGUCAGGAGACCUGCCUGCCG
rnacentral:ncRNA from 1 species